UACGGGGGGGGCAAGCGUUGUUCGGAAUUACUGGGCGUAAAGGGCGCGUAGGCGGCUUUUCAAGUCGGGCGUGAAAUCUCCGGGCUUAACCCGGAAGGGUCGUUCGAUACUGUUGAGCUAGAGUGUGGAAGAGGCAACUAGAAUUCCGUGUGUAGCGGUGAAAUGCGUAGAUAUACGGAGGAAUACCUGAGGCGAAGGCGGGUUGCCGGGCCAACACUGACGCUGAGGCGCGAAAGCCAGGGGAGCAAACGGG
rnacentral:rRNA from 1 species